rnacentral:rRNA from 1 species
AACGAACGCUGGCGGCAGGCCUAACACAUGCAAGUCGAGCGCUGUAGCAAUACAGAGCGGCGCACGGGUGAGUAACACGUGGGAACGUGCCCUUUGGUUCGGAAUAACUCAGGGAAACUUGAGCUAAUACCGGAUGAGCCCUAACGGGGAAAGAUUUAUCGCCGAAGGAGCGGCCCGCGUCGGAUUAGCUAGUUGGUGGGGUAAUAGCCUACCAAGGCAACGAUCCGUAGCUGGUUUGAGAGAACGACCAGCCACACUGGGACUGAGACACGGCCCAGACUCCUACGGGAGGCAGCAGUGGGGAAUCUUGGACAAUGGGGGAAACCCUGAUCCAGCCAUGCCGCGUGAGUGAUGAAGGCCCUAGGGUUGUAAAACUCUUUCGGCGGGGACGAUAAUGACGGUACCCGCAGAAGAAGCUCCGGCUAACUUCGUGCCAGCCGCCGCCGUAAGAC